AGCAGUCGCCGCGGUAAUACGAAGGGUGCAAGCGUUACUCGGAAUUACUGGGCGUAAAGCGUGCGUAGGUGGUUGUUUAAGUCUGCUGUGAAAGCCCUGGGCUCAACCUGGGAAUUGCAGUGGAUACUGGGCAACUAGAGUAAGGUAGAGGAUAGUGGAAUUUCCGGUGUAGCAGUGAAAUGCGUAGAGAUCGGAAGGAACAUCUGUGGCGAAGGCGACUAUCUGGGCCAACACUGACACUGAGGCACGAAAGCGUGGGGAGCAAACAGGAUUAGAUACCCCCGUAGUCCCUGUCUCUUAUAC
rnacentral:rRNA from 1 species